AGUGAACGCUGGCGGCGUGCUUAACACAUGCAAGUCGAACGAGAACGGAAUAUAGCUUGCUAUAUUUGUCAGCUAAGUGGCGCACGGGUGAGUAAUGUAUAGAUAACCUGCCCUUAAGAAAGGAAUAACAGUUGGAAACGACUGCUAAUGCCCUAUAUGCCUUUAAUACAUAAGUAUGCAAGGGAAACGCUUUAGUGCUUAAGGAUGGGUCUGUAUGGUAUCAGCUUGUUGGUGAGGUAAUGGCUCACCAAGGCUAUGACGCCUAACUGGUUUGAGAGGGUGAUCAGUCACAAUGGAACUGAGACACGGUCCAGACUCCUACGGGAGGCAGCAGUGGGGGAUAUUGCACAAUGGACGAAAGUCUGAUGCAGCAACGCCGCGUGGAGGAUGACACAUUUCGGUGCGUAAACUCCUUUUAUAUAGGAAGAUAAUGACGGUACUAUAUGAAUAAGCACCGGCUAACUCCGUGCCAGCCGCCGCCGUAA
rnacentral:rRNA from 1 species